GAUGAACGCUAGCUACAGGCUUAACACAUGCAAGUCGCGGGGUAACAUCUGGUAGAGCUUGCUCUCCAGGAUGACGACCGGCGCACGGGUGAGUAACGCGUAUCCAACCUGCCCAACCACUUGGGGAUAACCCUGCGAAAGUAAGACUAAUACCCAAUGACGUCUCUAGAAGACAUCUGAAAGGGAUUAAAGAUUUAUCGGUGAUGGAUGGGGAUGCGUCUGAUUAGCUUGUUGGCGGGUAACGGCCCACCAAGGCGACGAUCAGUAGGGGUUCUGAAAGGAAGGUCCCCCACAUUGGAACUGAGACACGGUCCAAACUCCUACGGGAGGCAGCAGUGAGGAAUAUUGGUCAAUGGGCGAGAGCCUGAACCAGCCAAGUAGCGUGCAGGAUGACGGCCCUAUGGGUUGUAAACUGCUUUUAUAAGGGAAUAAAGUGAGAGUCGUGACUCUUUUUGCAUGUACCUUAUGAAUAAGGACCGGCUAAUUCCGUG
rnacentral:rRNA from 1 species